rnacentral:rRNA from 1 species
CCUGCCCAAGAGAUCGGGAUAACACCUGGAAACAGAUGCUAAUACCGGAUAACAACAGAUGAUGCCUAUCAACUGUUUAAAAGAUGGUUCUGCUAUCACUCUUGGAUGGACCUGCGGUGCAUUAGCUAGUUGGUAGGGUAACGGCCUACCAAGGCGAUGAUGCAUAGCCGAGUUGAGAGACUGAUCGGCCACAUUGGGACUGAGACACGGCCCAUACUCCUACGGGAGGCAGCAGAA